rnacentral:rRNA from 1 species
GUAGUCCACGCCGUAAACGAUGGACACUAGAUGUCGGGAAACUUACCUUCCCGGUGUCGUAGCUAACGCAUUAAGUGUCCCGCCUGGGAAGUACGGCCGCAAGGUUAAAACUCAAAGAAAUUGACGGGGGCCCGCACAAGCGGUGGAGUAUGUGGUUUAAUUCGAUGCAACGCGAAAAACCUUACCUAGGCUUGACAUCCGACGCUAUCCAGCGAAAGUUGGAGUUCCCGUAAGGGACGUCGAGACAGGUGCUGCAUGGCUGUCGUCAGCUCGUGUCGUGAGAUGUUGGGUUAAGUCCCGCAACGAGCGCAACCCUUGCCAUUAGUUGCCAGCAUUAAGUUGGGCACUCUAAUGGGACCGCUUGCCGAUAAGGCAGA